CCUUAACGAAAUUAAGCUCCUGUUGUGAAUGAAUACUUGUCAAAUGUCCUCCCCAUUUGACACAUUCUUGCUCAGCUCUAUAGAAGUCUACCCAACGAACAGACGUAUGUGUAGGAGUGACAACGUAGCGAUAUUUAUAACCAUUAUAAUCUGCUGUUCUUUGAUAUGCAAUGACCAACGCUGGUUUAAAGAUAAAAAUAGAGGUGUAUUCGUUCAAUUAAUUGGGAACACAGUAUUAGCUGUUCCCAAAGAAUGCAAGUGCGAGUGAUAAAAUCCUAUAAACAAAAUCCUUGUAGAGACCCAUUUACACAUGCAAUAUUUGCUGCGAUUUUAGGUGCGAUUUUCUUCUCCUGAUGUAUGUGAACGAGUGAAUGAGUUAGGAAUGUUUAGAUGAGGGAACAUAUACUCAGAGCAUUUAUAACUUAUUUACUCAUUCACAUCCCUCAGAAGAAAAAUCGCAAUAGAAAUCGCAACAAAAAUUGCGGGUGUAAACUGGCCUUAAGGUGCCUCAAAAUUGUGACUCUUCAAGUGACAUCGUGCGCAUGGAAGCCAUUCUUAGAAGUUUAAUUUGGAUCCUCAACUCCUCUUACUCGAAAUAUUGGUCGAUUUUCUCCUCGUCAAUAACAUCAUGUAGAGAGAAUAAAAUAUUUAUUAUUUCAAGUAUGUUUGGUACCAAGCGCGACGUGACAGCACACUAUUCUUGACGUGCUAUAUGGUUGUGUGUCUGACAGGGCUUCGUAAUUCCGGGGAAAUAAUUACAGCUUCAGGAAAUUUUUUUAAACAGUUGGGCUAUAAAUAUUUUGUAUUUCGCACGCAUAAUGCGAGCUUAUAUGUUGGAUUUUCACGAUGCAAACAAUCGACAUUCGACAAUAUUUUGCAUUUAUGAUAUUUUCGAUCUGCUGUUUAGCGUUGAAACAUAUGAUUUCAUGAAUCUAUCGACAGUUUUAAGACUUUUACACUAGCCUACUGGCCACUGUCACUGAUCAAUUCGUCAAUGUCUGUUAUACAAGGAGUGAAAAUGUACUUUUAGUUUAUUUGUUUAAUAUGUGUUUAUGUGGCGAGUUGGCAAUGCGAUGAGUUUAUAAAGUUCAUUCUAGAUGUGUAUAGCAAUGUGCCUUCAUGCAGCACGUUCAAGAACAAACGCAGACUGCAUGUUACUUAAUAUUCACGUAAUCAGGUGAUUUAAUUAAUAAGAUUCCUAUAACAACUCAGUGUAGGGAUUGUUGUCUGUAUAUAUUAACUUACCAGCAGUUUAAUACCAUAGAUAUCUUAUAUACACUAGAUAGUGCAUCUAAUUAUUCUGCGAUUCAAAAAUCGAAGCCGUGAUUGCAGACUCAGGAUAUUCCCAUGAAAUGAGAAGACUCGUAUGUUUUCUAUUUCUUAAACAGGGAACUUAAACAUUAAGUUAAACCUAUUCCAAAUACAUUUUCAAACUAUUCAAAUGAUGAAAGUUAUUGUUGUUUUUAAGCGUUUAUUAGCGAGUGGGAAACUUCAACAUGGCCGCCAUCUAUUCAAAUGGGGUAACCGCUGGAAUAUUCUUGGCUUCAAUUUUACUAGAAGAGAUGCGCUAUCUAGUGUAUAUAAGAUAUCUAUGUUUAAUACAUGUAAAUAGCAUGUCAAACGACUUUUGUACAAGGUAUGAUGUCUGAUGGUCUGUUUAUACCUCUUAAUUUUUUUUCUAAAUUGAAAUAAUCCUACCGGUCUACUCAUACAUUCACCUGGCUGUGUCAUUACAUUUCCGGGUAGGGAGUAUCUAUUUGGAGCGGGAAGCGGGUCGCGGGUAAAAGGAACGGGUCGCGGGGAAAAGGAGCGGGUAAUUAAACAAAGGAGCGGGUAAUUAAUAAAGAAGCGGGUAAUUUCCCAGGUGCUAAGCGCCGGUGGUGAAUUUUAAAGCAAAAAAGACAUUUUUUUAUGAAAGUGUAAACAAUAUGAGGACCAUUUUUACAAAGUGAAACCAUUGACUUCACAUAAAACAUCUCGAAAUUUCUAUCAAAUGUUAAAUUGACAGAUAUUUAACAGCCUGAACAUGUCUUACAAUGACGUGCUGAAAAUACGUACACACAAGCGCAACGUUUUUGGGUCACCAAAUGGACAAAAAUUAUUAUAACACAAGUGGUACUCAAAAAUCUACAGUCUGUCUCGGCUAUUGCCUCUCCAAACUGUGGUUAUGCAUCACUAACUCUAUAGAGCAAAGGAAACUAUAAACAAUUUUUUACUAUAAAUUUAUCCGAUCCUAUUUUAAGCCUAUUUUGUUAACCUACAACUAGUCUAAACCAGUGAGCUAUAAGAAAACAGGAACGAUAACUCCAGAGAUCAAGUCCUAUGAUUGGUUAAAACCAAAUUUGAAAACUAACUUUCAAAAGGACUAGAGAGAGUUUUGAGGAGCAGGAAAUUUAGUCAAAAGUUUGUUUUCGAGCGAAAAUUAGCAAGAAAAAGUACUUUUUU
rnacentral:lncRNA from 1 species